rnacentral:tRNA from 1 species
GGCUAUCAUAUAACGGUAUUAUCCCAGCUUCCCAAGCUGGAGACGCGAGUCCGACUCUCGCUGGCCGCUU